ANAGUUUGAUUCUGGCUCAGAACGAACGCUGGCGGCGUGCUUAACACAUGCAAGUCGAACGCGAAAGGUUUCUUCGGGAACCGAGUAGAGUGGCGCACGGGUGAGUAACGCGUAAGUAAUCUACCCUGGCAUCUGGGAUAACCCACCGAAAGGUGUGCUAAUACCGGAUACGCUGGAGACAGGAAAGGUGGCCUCUUCAUGAAAGCUACUGUGCCGGGAUGAGCUUGCGUACCAUUAGCUAGUUGGUGGGGUAAAGGCCUACCAAGGCGACGAUGGUUAGCGGGUCUGAGAGGAUGAUCCGCCACACUGGAACUGGAACACGGACCAGACUCCUACGGGAGGCAGCAGUGAGGAAUAUUGCGCAAUGGGGGAAACCCUGACGCAGCGACGCCGCGUGGAUGAUGAAGGCCUUCGGGUCGUAAAAUCCUGUCAGAUGGGAAGAAGUGUAUUAUACCCAAUACGUAUGAUAUUUGACGGUACCAUCAAAGGAAGCACCGGCUAACUCCGUGCCAGCAGCCGCGGUAAUACGGAGGGUGCAAGCGUUGUUCGGAAUUACUGGGCGUAAAGCGCGCGUAGGCGGUUUUAUAAGUCAGAUGUGAAAGUCCACGGCUCAACCAUGGAAGUGCAUUUGAAACUGUAAGACUUGAGUAUUGGAGGGGGUAGUGGAAUUCCCGGUGUAGAGGUGAAAUUCGUAGAUAUCGGGAGGAAUACCGGUGGCGAAGGCGACUACCUGGCCAAAUACUGACGCUGAGGUGCGAAAAGCGUGGGGAGCAAAC
rnacentral:rRNA from 1 species